CAUGGCCUACGGGGGGCAGCAGUGGGGAAUAUUGCACAAUGGGGGGAACCCUGAUGCAGCGACGCCGCGUGAGUGAAGAAGUAUUUCGGUACGUAAAGCUCUAUCAGCAGGGAAGAAAAAAGGACGGUACCUGAGUAAGAAGCCCCGGCUAACUACGUGCCAGCAGCCGCGGUAAUACGUAGGGGGCAAGCGUUAUCCGGAAUUACUGGGUGUAAAGGGCGUGUAGGCGGGCAUGCAAGCCAGAAGUGAAAUCUGGGGGCUUAACCCCCAAACUGCUUUUGGAACUGCGUGUCUUGAGUGAUGGG
rnacentral:rRNA from 1 species